rnacentral:rRNA from 1 species
UACGUACCGUCCAAACGUUAUUCGGAAUUACUGGGCUUAAAGGGUUUGUAGGCGGCGCUGUUAGUCGGGUGUGAAAUCCCACGGCUCAACCGUGGAACUGCGCCCGAUACUGCAGUGCUUGAGGGAGACAGAGGUAAGCGGAACUGAUGGUGGAGCGGUGAAAUGCGUUGAUAUCAUCAGGAACACCGGUGGCGAAAGCGGCUUACUGGGUCUCUUCUGACGCUGAGAAACGAAAGCUAGGGUAGCGAAGGGG